CCUACGGGAGGCAGCAGUGAGGAAUAUUGGUCAAUGGGCGCAAGCCUGAACCAGCCAAGUCGCGUGAGGGAUGACGGUCCUAUGGAUUGUAAACCUCUUUUGUCGGGGAGCAAGGCCCGCCACGUGUGGCGGGAAGGAGAGUACCCGAAGAACAAGCAUCGGCUAACUCCGUGCCAGCAGCCGCGGUAAUACGGAGGAUGCGAGCGUUAUCCGGAUUUAUUGGGUUUAAAGGGUGCGUAGGCGGAAGGUUAAGUCAGCGGUAAAAUGUCGGUGCUCAACACCGGCCUGCCGUUGAAACUGGUCUUCUUGAGUGAGCGAGAAGUAUGCGGAAUGCGUGGUGUAGCGGUGAAAUGCAUAGAUAUCACGCAGAACUCCGAUUGCGAAGGCAGCAUACCGGCGCUCAACUGACGCUGAGGCACGAAAGCGUGGGGAUCGAACAGGAUUAGAUACCCCGGUAGUC
rnacentral:rRNA from 1 species